UUAAUAAUUUUAAUUAAUCAUAAUUAAUAAAGUUUUAAUUAAUUUCAAUUAACAAAAUUUUAAAAUAAUUAUUGCAUAUUGUUUAAAAUAACUAGUGCAUAUUGUUUAAAAUAACUAUUGCAUAUUGUUUAGAAUAACUAUUGUACAUUGUUAGAAAUACUUAAAGAAUUGCGCAUUUUUAAGCCCAGUUUUCACAAAACCACACCGGAAUACUUUUUGUGCCAGGUGAGCUACAAACUCUAUCAUAUUGAUGUACUAUAAGAAAACAGCUUACUAAGCUAACAAAGAAUAGCACAUUCCAAUCUAAAUUGUUUACCAAAUCAAGAACGCAAACGUAAGCAAUAGAAACUUCUGGAAAGUUCCAUGACCAAGGGUUAACAACUUUGACCCGAACAAAUAUAAAAAGUAGGUGAAUCAGCGUACCACGUGAGACCACAUAGGAUCACGUGAGUAACGUAUUAGGAAAAGUCUGAUCAGGUUUCAGAAAGUUGCAUCUGGAAGAAUAUUUAAGAAAACACUGCGGGGGACUCACCACAGUGUUUUUUCGGAUAUUACAGAGAAUAAAAUGGGCUGUUUACACUGUCGACUUCCUUGAUUAUUUACAUCUAUUAUGGAUUAUAGAAUAUUAGCGCUUAACGCUAAUUUGCAUAAAAUGAAGAAUGGUAACAUUUAAUGCUAACUGAAAAUGAAACACUACAAAUACAACAUUCACUAAGACCGUAAUGGACAGAAUAAUUAACUGUUAAGAACUAAAUAAUGUAUCGUACGUAAAUAAAGAUCCCGUUACCGAUUACACUAGAUGGAAAUAAUGAAAACUUCAAGGAUAUUGAAAUAACAAGUAAAAGCACGUACGAUAUCUGGUGGAGAAUAGGUUCUAAAGUUUAAUUCCUUUACAAUAACAUUUUCCACAACAAAAAUCGUCAGAAAUGUUUCAAGAUGUCUUACUACAAUUUACGUUCUCGCCUAUCAGCCACUCUACCGCCACAGUUGACGCCGCCAACAUCCCCACCUGACGAGUCGACAGUUCCGGAGCAACCACUUCAACCAUCAACUACCAUAUCAAAACAAGACACUCCAAAAUCAUCAAGCAGACGCCUUCCGCACCUGGCCACUCUCCAGCAGACGGGGAACGACCGGUGAGAAACUUCCAUACCGCACAGACUUCGGACCCAAGAGGCGCACACGACAAUACAUCAUUCAUAUAAAUAUAGUGUGUAUUUCAUAAUUGUGUUCUUAAAUUUGUAUUUUCAUUGAUACUCUAUUGUAUAUAUAAUAUCAUUUUAUCGUUACAUUUUUGGUUCCCUAUUGUCAAUUUUACAUUUCAUUAUUUUCAUAAAAUGGAUAUUGUUAUUAACAUUUCAUUUUUUAUAUUGUUCUCUAAUUAUUUCAAGUUAUUAUUUAAAUACAAUGGCAACUCUUCUAGUAAUUUAUACAUUUCCCUCCCUUUAGAUCACCAUCAACUGCAUCACAUAAAAUACUUUUUAAAUACUUUUCCCAAAUUAAGAAAAAUCCAUAGACGCACUAAAAAGUUACUAUUUACCCACAUGUUAAAUAAUCCUAACAUUUCAUUUUCAAGCUUAAUUUUUGCUAUAGACUAAAUAUACUCUAUCUUCAAAUGCUCGACCAUCUACUUUAUGAAAUCCACCCCCUAAAUUUUCAAAUCUGCCAAACAAUUAUUUUAAGGUUCGGUUCAAAAUCCCAAAGAUCCAUAAUAGCCCACAAAAGAUUUCUUCAAUCAAAAUUUCUACCUCCCUCAUUAUACAAUUUUUCCAUUACAGACAUCUUAAAUGCAGAUCUUAAACAAAUCAAUAAAUUAAUGACUCAACAUUUUCGCCUUUACAAACAAUCCCUUAAAUGCCAAUCGAUCCCUAUCGAUUUUGACAACACAUAUUGUCGAGUUUGUCAUGCUUCGCUGAAACAUUGUCGUCCAAAAUUCAAAAAACUUGAUCCUCUUGUUCAUUUAUUCUUAAGUCGAACCCCUUGUUGCCAUACACCCCAUCAUAUCUUCUGCUCCUAUGACACUAUACAAAACGGAUUCAAAAUUUGUAAAUUAUGUCUCCAUGCUGUAAAAUGUUUCAACUGGAAACUAAUAGCUCAGUAUAUGUUGGAACCCAAAUGAACAUACUAAACAUAAAAAUGUAUAACUAAAUGUGACUAUUAAAGUCACCUAUGCUAAACAUUAACUUACAAACUUUUCAAUUGUAUAAAUAAUACUUGAUAAUUCUUUUGUUUUCCAACAAAUACUAACAUGUAUAUAGACUGCUUUGUCAUUAUUGUGCAUUUCAAUUACGUUGUACUUGAUCUUUGUCUUAUUGAUGUUUCAAAUAAUGAUCUAAGUAUUGAUUCUCUAAUAUAGUUUAUUUGAAACCCUGUUUAUAUUUGUUGUUUUGUUAUAGACACUUCAGGCGGAGUGUACAUUUAGAGUUGUUGUAUUUUCAUUUACGAUUAAUGCCUAGUGUGUUUACGAAUUCUUUUUUCUAUUAUCUAUAUAUUACAUCUAUUUCGAUUGUUGUUAAAUAUGUUAGAUUCAUGUAUGCAUGCUUUAAUAUUAUACAGUUAAAUGUUCUGGGAUUGUUUUCAACAGCAGUUAAAUUUAAACAGCCCAUAUAUUAGAAUAGGAAUUCUAAUUAAAAAGAAGGAGGGGAAGAUGUAAUCCAAUUAAAAUCACAAUCUUAUGAAAUAUUUGUAAUAUUUAAAUUUUCACUUUAACUUAUUUAAUAAUUUUAAUUAAUCAUAAUUAAUAAAGUUUUAAUUAAUUUCAAUUAACAAAAUUUUAAAAUAAUUAUUGCAUAUUGUUUAAAAUAACUAGUGCAUAUUGUUUAAAAUAACUAUUGCAUAUUGUUUAGAAUAACUAUUGUACAUUGUUAGAAAUACUUAAAGAAUUGCGCAUUUUUAAGCCCAGUUUUCACAAAGCCACACCGGAAUACUUUUUGUGCCAGGUGAGCUACAAACUCUAUCAUAUUGAUGUACUAUAAGAAAACAGCUUACUAAGCUAACAAAGAAUAGCACAUUCCAAUCUAAAUUGUUUACCAAAUCAAGAACGCAAACGUAAGCAAUAGAAACUUCUGGAAAGUUCCAUGACCAAGGGUUAACAACUUUGACCCGAACAAAUAUAAAAAGUAGGUGAAUCAGCGUACCACGUGAGACCACAUAGGAUCACGUGAGUAACGUAUUAGGAAAAGUCUGAUCAGGUUUCAGAAAGUUGCAUCUGGAAGAAUAUUUAAGAAAACACUGCGGGGGACUCACCACAGUGUUUUUUCGGAUAUUACAGAGAAUAAAAUGGGCUGUUUACA